rnacentral:rRNA from 1 species
UACGUAGGGUGCGAGCGUUAAUCGGAAUUACUGGGCGUAAAGCGUGCGCAGGCGGUUCGUUGUGUCUGCUGUGAAAGCCCCCGGGCUCAACCUGGGAAUGGCAGUGGAAACUGGCGAGCUGGAGUGUGGCAGAGGGGGGUGGAAUUCCGCGUGUAGCAGUGAAAUGCGCAGAUAUCAGGAGGAACACCAAUGGCGAAGGCAGCUCGCUGGGCCACUACUGACGCUGGAGAAGCGAAAGCAUGGGGAGCGAACAGG